AACGAACGCUGGCGGCAUGCCUAACACAUGCAAGUCGAACGAGACCUUCGGGUCUAGUGGCGCACGGGUGCGUAACGCGUGGGAACCUGCCCUUAGGUUCGGAAUAACUCCCCGAAAGGGGUGCUAAUACCGGAUAAUGUCUUCGGACCAAAGAUUUAUCGCCUUUGGAUGGGCCCGCGUUGGAUUAGCUAGUUGGUAGGGUAAAAGCCUACCAAGGCGACGAUCCAUAGCUGGUCUGAGAGGAUGAUCAGCCACACUGGGACUGAGACACGGCCCAGACUCCUGCGGGAGGCAGCAGUGGGGAAUAUUGGACAAUGGGCGAAAGCCUGAUCCAGCAAGGCCGCGUGAGUGAUGAAGGCCUUAGGGUUGUAAAGCUCGUUUACCCGGGAUGAUAAUGACAGUACCGGGAGAAUAAGCUCCGGCUAACUCCGUG
rnacentral:rRNA from 1 species